ensembl:lncRNA
GAGAUGGGGGCCGGAGGGGCUGGGGGGCCGCUGUGGAGGUGAUGGGGGCCAGAGGGGUCUGGGGGGCCACUGUGGAGGUUAUGGGGGCCGGAGGGGCCAGGGGGGCGUGCUGUGGAGGUGAUGGGGGCCGAAGGGGCCGGGGGGGUGCUGUGGAGGUGAUGGGGGCCAGAGGGGUCUGGGGGGCAGCUGUGGAAAUGUCGACAAAGGGGGACGCACAUGAGAGGCGCCAUGAAGGCAGGAGGACCCAAUUGGUUCACAGACUGUGAUCUCUGCAGUGACUAUGAGGGAGGAGAUGAAGAUGACCCUGAGGGUCUGAGUGGAGGUGAGCUUGGGGCGGGGGAGGCUGUCUCAGAGGCAUUUUUGUGGGGGGCAGCUGGGCACAUGAGCUCAGAAGAGGAGGAAGAAUCUAAGAACCAUGGCACAGAGAGGGGCUGAAGCAUGGGAGCUGGGGGGCACCAAGGGAGGAGGGCGAGCUCCGGGGACAGAGAAGGAACGGCCAGAGAGGUGGGACGAGAGCCGAGAGAGGGCAGUGACCAGCCCCGUCCAGGAGGACUUUGGAGGACGUUUGCUCGGAAGCCAGCUUAUGAGGGGCCGAGGGAGAGCCCAGGGAGGCCCAGAGGAAGAGGAGGCUCAGCCGGAGGUGCCUUUGUGGGGGCUACAAGAGCCCAGGGCCAGAGGCCGGACCUUGGGGAGACCUGGGCGAGGAGGGAAAGCAGGGAGACAGGCCUGGGCUCGGCCUUGGGCCGGGAAGGGCUGCAGGGCCCUGAGGAGGCUUUGCGGAAGGACGGGAGGUCCAGAGGGGAGGCCAGGCAGCGAGUGUAUGGUGGACCCAGGCAGAGCCGUGGUGCGCUCUGCACGAGGCCGCGAGUCGGAGCAAGCUGGGCAGGCAGAGAGAGACCAGGGGGCCGGGCCUGGGCCCGGGGCCACGCUGGGGGCUCUGGAAGAGGCCCGGCAGCGUGGCCCAGGCCCGGGGGCUGGACACCCCUUUGGGGAAGGGCCCAGCCCAGGCUCCUCCGGGCUCGUCUCUGCUUCCCCCGCCCGCCCUGAAGUUUCUCAAGCUGCCGGGCCCGGCCGGGCCUACCAGCAGGUUCUGCUGUGGGGAAAGCACAAACUGGUCUCCCGCCUCGUCCUCGUCGUCGUCUUCCUCGUCCUGGUUCCAGGUUUGCCGGUUCUCUUCCGGGUUGAUCCCGGUCACGGAGAAGGGCGCGGCCACCAGGAGCCGGAAGCGAUGGGCCACGUCCGUGAAGUUGUUGACCUUCAGCACGUGUGUGGCCAUGACCUCCGUGAGCACCUGCGGGCCGGGCAGAGGGGGGUCCAGGAGAGGCCGCCCCCCCCCAGCCGUGCUGGGCAGUCCACCUCCCUUCCCUUCUCUAUGUAUCCCUCCCCACCUGUGUUUCUGUCCACUCUCUCUCCACCCCACUCCACCUCCACUCCUCUCUUUACCCCCUUCUUCCUCGUCCUCCUUCUCCACCCUCCUCCUUUCUUCCUUCCCCCCUCUCUGGCUCUUUCUCUCUCAUUUUCAGAGCCAAACUCCCCCUUCCUACUUCCUUAUUCCUCACUCUUCACUCAGAGUCCAUUCCCCAGUCUAACACAGGCCUCUCUGCAUUGAGAAGCAUGAAUGGCCUGCCUUCCAUUCAGGCCCUAACUAGGCAACCCCUCUGAAGAAACACCCUGCUGGAAAAUGCAAACACACUUUCUCUGGAUUCUCCAACUUUUCCG